rnacentral:rRNA from 1 species
CUGGCGGCGUGCCUAACACAUGCAAGUCGAACGCGAAUGCGGGGCAACCCGCAGGUAGAGUGGCGAACGGGUGAGUAAUACAUCGGAACAUAUCCAGUAGCGGGGGAUAACCUAUCGAAAGAUGGACUAAUACCGCAUACGAUCUACGGAUGAAAGCAGGGGACCGCAAGGCCUUGCACUAUCGGAGUGGCCGAUGUCGGAUUAGCUAGUUGGUGAGGUAAAGGCUUACCAAGGCGACGAUCCGUAGCUGGUCUGAGAGGACGAUCAGCCACACUGGGACUGAGAUACGGCCCAGACUCCUACGGGAGGCAGCAGUAAGGAAUAUUGCGCAAUGGAGGCAACUCUGACGCAGCAACGCCGCGUGU